UACGUAGGGUGCAGGCGUUAAUCGGAAUUACUGGGCGUAAAGCGUGCGCAGGCGGUCUUUGAAGUCAGAUGUGAAAUCCCCGGGCUUAACCUGGGAACUGCGUUUGAAACUGAAAGGCUAGAGUGUGGCAGAGGGGGGUGGAAUUCCACGUGUAGCAGUGAAAUGCGUAGAGAUGUGGAGGAACACCGAUGGCGAAGGCAGCCCCCUGGGCUAACACUGACGCUCAUGCACGAAAGCGUGGGGAGCAAACAGG
rnacentral:rRNA from 1 species